UGGGGAAUCUUGCACAAUGGGCGCAAGCCUGAUGCAGCCAUGCCGCGUGUGUGAAGAAGGCCUUCGGGUUGUAAAGCACUUUCAGCGGGGAGGAAGGCGAUAAGGUUAAUAACCUCAUCGAUUGACGUUACCCGCAGAAGAAGCACCGGCUAACUCCGUGCCAGCAGCCGCGGUAAUACGGAGGGUGCAAGCGUUAAUCGGAAUUACUGGGCGUAAAGCGCACGCAGGCGGUCUGUCAAGUCGGAUGUGAAAUCCCCGGGCUCAACCUGGGAACUGCAUUCGAAACUGGCAGGCUAGAGUCUUGUAGAGGGGGGUAGAAUUCCAGGUGUAGCGGUGAAAUGCGUAGAGAUAUGGAGGAAUACCGGUGGCGAAGGCGGCCCCCUGGACAAAGACUGACGCUCAGGUGCGAAAGCGUGGGGAGCAAACAGG
rnacentral:rRNA from 1 species